rnacentral:rRNA from 1 species
GAUGAACGCUGGCGGCGUGCCUAAUACAUGCAAGUCGAGCGAACAGACGAGGAGCUUGCUCCACUGACGUUAGCGGCGGACGGGUGAGUAACACGUGGAUAACCUACCUAUAAGACUGGGAUAACUUCGGGAAACCGGAGCUAAUACCGGAUAAUAUAUUGAACCGCAUGGUUCAAUAGUGAAAGACGGUUUUGCUGUCACUUAUAGAUGGAUCCGCGCCGCAUUAGCUAGUUGGUAAGGUAACGGCUUACCAAGGCAACGAUGCGUAGCCGACCUGAGAGGGUGAGCGGCCACCCUGGAACUGAGACACGGUCCAGACUCCUACGGGAGGCAGCAGUAGGGAAUCUUCCGCAAUGGGCGAAAGCCUGACGGAGCAACGCCGCGUGAGUGAUGAAGGUCUUCGGAUCGUAAAACUCUGUUAUUAGGGAAGAACAAAUGUGUAAGUAACUAUGCACGUCUUGACGGUACCUAAUCAGAAAGCCACGGCUAACUACGUG